AUUGAACGCUGGCGGCAGGCUUAACACAUGCAAGUCGAGCGGAGAUGAGGUGCUUGCACCUUAUCUUAGCGGCGGACGGGUGAGUAAUGCUUAGGAAUCUGCCUAUUAGUGGGGGACAACAUUCAGAAAGGAAUGCUAAUACCGCAUACGCCCUACGGGGGAAAGCAGGGGAUCUUCGGACCUUGCGCUAAUAGAUGAGCCUAAGUCGGAUUAGCUAGUUGGUGGGGUAAAGGCCUACCAAGGCGACGAUCUGUAGCGGGUCUGAGAGGAUGAUCCGCCACACUGGGACUGAGGCACGGCCCAGACUCCUACGGGAGGCAGCAGUGCGGAAUAUUGGACAAUGGGCGGAAGCCUGAUCCAGCCAUGCCGCGUGUGUGAAGAAGGCCUUUUGGUUGUAAAGCACUUUAAGCGAGGAGGAGGCUACCUGGAUUAAUACUCUAGGAUAGUGGACGUUACUCGCAGAAUAAGCACCGGCUAACUCUGUGCCAGCCGCCGCCGUAACAC
rnacentral:rRNA from 1 species